rnacentral:rRNA from 1 species
GUCUUGCUCCACCCGAGAAAGAGCACUGGGGAACGGUUGAUUAGCACGUGGGGAACGUGCCCAUCAGAUGGGGAUAACACGUGGAAACAGGUGCUAAUACCGUAUAACAAGCGAAACCGCGUGGUUUUGAUUUGAAAGGCGCUUUCGGGUGUCGCUGAUGGAUGGACCCGCGGUGCAUUAGCUAGUUGGUGAGGUAACGGCUCACCAAGGCCACGAUGCAUAGCCGACCUGAGAGGGUGAUCGGCCACAUUGGGACUGAGACACGGCCCAAACUCCUACGGGAGGCAGCAGUAGGGAAUCUUCGGCAAUGGACGAAAGUCUGACCGAGCAACGCCGCGUGAGUGAAGAAGGUUUUCGGAUCGUAAAACUCUGUUGUUAGAGAAGAACAAGGAUGAGAGUA